rnacentral:tRNA from 1 species
CACCACCCGGGCAGGGGCUGCCCGGUGAAGUACGGGCGGCCGAAGGUGUCGCCGAAGUAGCCGAGUUCCACUCCGGUGAGGUGU